GGGAAUGUGGCUCAGUGUAGAGUGCUUGCCUAGAAUGCAUGAAGCUACAGGUUCAAUUCUUCAGUACCA
rnacentral:tRNA from 1 species